AUGGCCUGGUCCUCUGUCCUUUUUGCUCUCUUUACUUACUGCACAGCCUCUUGGGGACAGUCUGUGUUGACCCAAAGACCCUCAGUGUCUGGAAACCUUGGACAGAGCAUCUCCAUCUUAUGCAGUGGAAGUAGCAGCAACAUUGGUGGUUAUUAUGUACACUGGUACCAACAGCUCCCAGAAACAUCUCCCAAACUCAUCUGUGAUGAUAGCAAGAUACCCUCUGGGAUCUCUGAUCACUUCUCAUUCUCCAAGUCUGGCAACUCAGCCACCCUGACCGUUGCUGGGCUCCACUCUGAGGAUGAGGCUGAUUAUUACUGUCAGUCCUAUGAUAACAGCCUUGGUGGUUUCUGGAUCUUUGGUGGCUGGGGCACUGUGAUCUCUUUCUCAGGGACUUUUUAUUACAUGCUGUUGGAGUCAAGAAUAUCUUGGAAAUGCCUGAAUCUGGGGAACAUGAAAUCAUGUGAAGAAUCGAACACUGCAAUUUCUCCAGGAGUCAUGCCUGUGUUGCUGCGAGGAAGCUCCCCCAAGCUCCUCAUCUAUGGUAAUAGCAAUCGACCAUCAGGGAUCCCUGAAUGCUUCUCUGGCUCCAAGUCUGGCAACUCAGCCACUCUGACCAUCACGGUGGUCCAGCCUGAGGAUGAGGCUGAUUACUACUGUGAUGCUUAUGACAAAAGCCUCAGUGCUCGUACAGUGCUUCAGUUCUAUAAGGAAGUGAGACAAGAAACCUUCCUCUUCUGCCAGUAG